GUCCACGCCGUAAACGAUGGAUACUAGCUGUUGGGAGUAAUCUCAUUGGCUAAGCGAAAGUGAUAAGUAUCCCACCUGGGGGAGUACGUUCGCAAGAAUGAAACUCAAAGGAAUUGACGGGGGCCCGCACAAGCGGUGGAGCAUGUGGUUUAAUUCGAUGAUACGCGAGGAACCUUACCAAGGCUUAAAUGUAGAUUGACCGUUUUGGAAACAGAACUUUCGCAAGACAAUUUACAAGGUGCUGCAUGGUUGUCGU
rnacentral:rRNA from 1 species